GACGAACGCUGGCGGCGUGCUUAACACAUGCAAGUCGAACGGAAAGGCCCUGCUUUUGUGGGGUGCUCGAGUGGCGAACGGGUGAGUAACACGUGAGUAACCUGCCCUUGACUUUGGGAUAACUUCAGGAAACUGGGGCUAAUACCGGAUAGGAGCUCCUGCUGCAUGGUGGGGGUUGGAAAGUUUCGGCGGUUGGGGAUGGACUCGCGGCUUAUCAGCUUGUUGGUGGGGUAGUGGCUUACCAAGGCUUUGACGGGUAGCCGGCCUGAGAGGGUGACCGGCCACAUUGGGACUGAGAUACGGCCCAGACUCCUACGGGAGGCAGCAGUGGGGAAUAUUGCACAAUGGGCGGAAGCCUGAUGCAGCAACGCCGCGUGCGGGAAGACGGCCUUCUGGUUGUAAACCGCUUUCGCCUGUGACGAAGCGUGAGUGACGGUAAUGGGUAAAGAAGCACCGGCUAACUACGUG
rnacentral:rRNA from 1 species